AGAUUAGGGUCAGAUUGUUUCCAUCGUUACAAUUUUGGGCAAAAGAUUCUUUGAUGAACUUAAACGUACGGAGUUCUACCUCCAAGUACAAGCAAUCUUUCUCUGUACCCUCAUGAACUCUACUAUCAAGGGUGUGUCUUAGUAGUCUUGUAUUGGGUCCAUUGCCACGUCCAAGAAAUUCUGUUCCACUUCUUCCAUAUGCUCACAUGACAGUUAAAUGAUAAUGACUUUAGUGUUUUAUGAAAGCAUAUUCUGGUUGAACCAAGUAAAUCAAAACUAACCAAGCAAUGAACGAUUAGCUUGUAAUUCUUUGAGUAGCAGUCUCCUCUGUUUUGUCUUGCUGGCUUAUUGAAGCUCAACCACUUGUUUGGAGCUCAAACACAGAACCAUUAGAUGGCCACGACGGUUUUUGGGAAAACUGAAGAAACAAAACAAACCUGAGAAAUGUCAGAAAGAGUAAGUAUUGGGAAAUACUAACCAAGCAAGCAGCAAGCAAAGAAGUAUGGCAACGAUAACAGUAAAACUAUCCUCAAUAAAUAGGGA
rnacentral:lncRNA from 1 species